rnacentral:misc_RNA from 1 species
AUAGGCUUUGUCGAGUCUUGGAUUUUCUAUCUUUCGACUCGACAUCCUGAUCAUCCCUAUGUGCACUUAUCAAAGAAUUCUUUGGUGGGUUGCAAGACCUACCAAAAGUUUUUUCUAUCGACUUCAUUUUUGUCUGAAAUAAAAUUGUAAUAAAAUA